rnacentral:lncRNA from 1 species
GCUGGGUGCUGGCACUUCCUGUCUGCUGGCUCCUGUCCUGCUCCGUGGUAUGAGUGUGAGUCUGGGUGUGUGACCUUGUCUCUGCCUGAAUGUGUCCUCCUGUCACCACCUGGCUUGUCUGACUGUGGGUCUCCAUCCCUCUGGUGGACUCCCGUGGCUGGGUGCUGGCACUUCCUGUCUGCUGGCUCCUGUCCUGCUCCGUGGUAUGAGUGUGAGUCUGGGUUUGUGACCUUGUCUGUGCCUGAAUGUGUCCUCCUGUCACCACCUGGCUUGUCUGCCUCCCAUCUUGACUGUGGGCCUCAGUCCCUCUGGUGGACUCCCGUGGCUGCGUGCUGGUGCUUCCUGACUGCUGGCUCCUGUCCUGCUCCGUGCUAUGAGUGGCAAGAAUGUGACAUACUGAGCCAGCAAAUGCUCGGAAUGCCUUGAAGAUCCUGUUCCAGCAGGCCAACUGGGACAGGGAGGACCCCAGUGACAAAUGUGACCUGAUUACUGGAACCCUUUGUUCCCAGGAUGGGCCUUGGGAACCUGCCCACUUGUGGAACCAGCUGUCAAUCAGCCCACCAGGGACCAAGGGAAGAUGAGAAGCACUGGGUCCUGCCCUGCUGCAGCAUGGACCCCAUUCAGGAACGCGGACUGAGCCCUUUCAUUCCUGAUUUUUCAGCUGAAGAAUAAGGACAUUUUUAUAAGUCCUGUAAGGGAGUUUCAUGAUGAUAUCCUUCCAAGGAAGAGUAAAUGG